GCUGGGCGUGGUGGCGGGUGCCUGUAAUCCCACCUACUUGGGAGGCUGAGGCAGGAGAAUCCCUUGAGCCCAGGAGGUCAAAGCUGUGGUGAGCUAUGAUUGCACCACUGCACUCCAGCCUGGGCAACAGAGGGAGACCCUGUUUCUA
rnacentral:SRP_RNA from 1 species